rnacentral:rRNA from 1 species
UUGAAUUUGGGUUUUUAAGUUAGAUUUGGGUGGCGGACGGGUGAGUAAUGCGUAAAGAACUUGCCUCACAGCUAGGGACAACAUUUAGAAAUGAAUGCUAAUACCUGAUAUUAUGAUUUUAAGGCAUCUUAGAAUUAUGAAAGCUAUAAGCACUGUGAGAGAGCUUUGCGUCCCAUUAUCUAGUUGGAGAGGUAACAGCUCACCGAGGCGAUGAUGGGUAGCCGGCCUGAGAGGGUGAACGGCCACAAGGGGACUGAGACACGGCCCUUACUCCUACGGGAGGCAGCAGUGGGGAAUAUUGGACAAUGGACCGAGAGUCUGAUCCAGCAAUUCUGUGUGCACGAUGAAGUUUUUCGGAAUGUAAAGUGCUUUCAGUUGGGAAGAAAGAAAUGACGGUACCAACAGAAGAAGUGACGGCUAAAUACGUGCCAGCAGCCGCGGUAAUACGUAUGUCACGAGCGUUAUCCGGAUUUAUUGGGCGUAAAGCGCGUCUAGGUGGUUAUGUAAGUCUGAUGUGAAAAUGCAGGGCUCAACUCUGUAUUGCGUUGGAAACUGUAUAACUAGAGUACUGGAGAGGUAAGCGGAACUACAAGUGUAGAGGUGAAAUUCGUAGAUAUUUGUAGGAAUGCCGAUGGGGAAGCCAGCUUACUGGACAGAUACUGA